CAGCCGCCGCGGUAAUACGAAGGGGGCUAGCGUUGCUCGGAUUGACUGGGCGUAAAGGGCGCGUAGGCGGUUUGUACAGUCAGACGUGAAAUUCCUGGGCUCAACCUGGGGGCUGCGUUUGAUACGUGCGAGCUUGAGUUCGGAAGAGGGUCGUGGAAUUCCCAGUGUAGAGGUGAAAUUCGUAGAUAUUGGGAAGAACACCGGUGGCGAAGGCGGCGACCUGGUCCGAUACUGACGCUGAGGCGCGAAAGCGUGGGGAGCAAACAGGAUUAGAUACCCCGGUAGUCCCUGUCUCUUAUAC
rnacentral:rRNA from 1 species